AGAGUUUGAUCCUGGCUCAGGAUGAACGCUGGCGGCGUGCUUAACACAUGCAAGUCGAACGAAGCACUAACAACAGAAGCUUUCGGGUGGAAGAAGUAAGUGACUGAGUGGCGGACGGGUGAGUAACGCGUGGGUAACCUGCCUCACACAGGGGGAUAACAGUUAGAAAUGACUGCUAAUACCGCAUAAGCGCACAGUGCUGCAUGGCACAGUGUGAAAAACUCCGGUGGUGUGAGAUGGACCCGCGUCUGAUUAGCUUGUUGGAGAGGUAACGGCCCACCAAGGCAACGAUCAGUAGCCGGCCUGAGAGGGUGGACGGCCACAUUGGAACUGAGACACGGUCCAAACUCCUACGGGAGGCAGCAGUGGGGAAUAUUGCACAAUGGGGGAAACCCUGAUGCAGCGACGCCGCGUGAGUGAAGAAGUAUUUCGGUAUGUAAAGCUCUAUCAGCAGGGAAGAUAAUGACGGUACCUGAGUAAGAAGCCCCGGCUAACUACGUGCCAGCAGCCGCGGUAAUACGUAGGGGGCAAGCGUUAUCCGGAUUUACUGGGUGUAAAGGGUGCGUAGGUGGUAUGGCAAGUCAGAAGUGAAAACCCGGGGCUCAACCCCGCGGACUGCUUUUGAAACUGUCAGACUGGAGUACAGGAGAGGUAAGCGGAAUUCCUAGUGUAGCGGUGAAAUGCGUAGAUAUUAGGAGGAACACCAGUGGCGAAGGCGGCUUACUGGACUGUAACUGACACUGAGGCACGAAAGCGUGGGGAGCAAACAGGAUUAGAUACCCUGGUAGUCCACGCCGUAA
rnacentral:rRNA from 1 species